AUUGAACGCUGGCGGAAUGCUUUACACAUGCAAGUCGAACGGUAGAGGGGGCAACCCCUCGAGAGUGGCGAACGGGUGAGUAAUAUAUCGGAACGUGCCCAGUCGUGGGGGAUAACGUAGCGAAAGUUACGCUAAUACCGCAUACGAUCUAAGGAUGAAAGCGGGGGACCGUAAGGCCUCGCGCGAUUGGAGCGGCCGAUAUCAGAUUAGGUAGUUGGUGGGGUAAAGGCUCACCAAGCCAACGAUCUGUAGCUGGUCUGAGAGGACGACCAGGCACACUGGAACUGGGACACGGUCCAGACUCCUACGGGAGGCGGCAGUGGGGAAUUUUGGACAAUGGACGCAAGUCUGAUCCAGCCAUUCCGCGUGCAGGAUGAAGGCCCUCGGGUUGUAAACUGCUUUUGUACGGAACGAAAAGGUCUCUCCUAAUACGAGGGGCUCAUGACGGUACCGUAAGAAUAAGCACCGGCUAACUACGUGCCAGCCGCCGCCGUAA
rnacentral:rRNA from 1 species